rnacentral:tRNA from 1 species
GGGAAGGUGGCUCAGUGGUAGAGCGCUGGCCUCGCACGCCUGAGGCUCUAGGUUCCAUUCCU